CUUGCAUCAUNGUAAAANUGAUGCNGGAUCGACUAUGUCGAAUAAAAUUCUAGGUAGAAUUAUGAUAAUGACAUUGUCUGCCUAUGUGUCUNGACCAANNUNCNUNCCAGCNNUCGCGGUAAUACGUAGAAGACUAGUGUUAUUCAUGUUUAAUCGGUUUAAAGGGUACCUAGACGGUAAAUCAAGCCUAAAAUUAAAUGAAGGGACUAAUUUACUAGAGUUACUUAUGAGGGGGUAUUAAAGUACUGCUGGUGUAGAGAUGAAAUUCUGUCAUACCUCUUUUCAAUAGAAAAACAAUGGCACAGGUAUAGGCGAAAGCAUCCCCUUAUGUGAUAACUGACGUUGAGGGACGAAGGCUUUGUGUAGCGAACAGGAUUAGAUACCCCAGUAGUCAAAGCAGAAAAUGAUGAAUGUCAUAGAUUAGAUAAAUAAGUUUAUUCUAUAAAUGAAAGUGUAAGCAUUCCACCUCAAGAGUAAUUUGGCAACAUUGGAACUGAAAUCAUUAGACCGUUUCUGAAACCAGUAGUGAAGUAUGUUGUUUAAUUUGAUGAUCCGCAAAAAACCUUACCACAAUUUGAAUAUUUAUAUUUUUUUAUUGUUUUCUUUUUAAUUUUCUUCNGAUUUGAUUUUUCUAAAGAAAAAAAGAAAAAGAGGCGAUAUGAUAUAUUUACAAGCGUUGCACGGCUGUCUUCAGUUAAUGUCGCGAGACUUUGGUUAGUUCCAUUAAAUUAACGUAAACCCUUACUUUAUUUUUAUAUAGAGUAGUUCCCCGCUAUNUNGGAUAUGAUAAC
rnacentral:rRNA from 1 species